AUUGAACGCUGGCGGCAGGCCUAACACAUGCAAGUCGAGCGGAUGAAGGGAGCUUGCUCCUGGAUUCAGCGGCGGACGGGUGAGUAAUGCCUAGGAAUCUGCCUGGUAGUGGGGGAUAACGUCCGGAAACGGGCGCUAAUACCGCAUACGUCCUGAGGGGGAAAGUGGGGGAUCUUCGGACCUCACGCUAUCAGAUGAGCCUAGGUCGGAUUAGCUAGUUGGUGGGGUAAAGGCCUACCAAGGCGACGAUCCGUAGCUGGUCUGAGAGGAUGAUCAGUCACACUGGAACUGAGACACGGUCCAGACUCCUACGGGAGGCAGCAGUGGGGAAUAUUGGACAAUGGGCGAAAGCCUGAUCCAGCCAUGCCGCGUGUGUGAAGAAGGUCUUCGGAUUGUAAAGCACUUUAAGUAGGGAGGAAGCGCAGUAAGUUAAUACCUUGCUGUUUUGACGUUACCAACAGAAUAAGCACCGGCUAACUUCGUG
rnacentral:rRNA from 1 species